rnacentral:sRNA from 1 species
UGCCGUCACCCUCUCACGGCCCUCUUCAGCCCCUGGCUUCCUCCCCCAGGAACUUCCGCAAACACCUGCGCAUGGUCGGCAGCCGGAGGGUGAAGGCCCAGACGUUCGCUGAGCGGCGCGAGCGGAGCUUCAGCCGGUCCUGGAGCGACCCCACCCCCAUGAAAGCCGACACUUCCCACGACUCCCGAGACAGCAGUGACCUGCAGAGCUCCCACUGCACGCUGGACGAGGCCUUCGAGGACCUGGACUGGGACACUGAGAAGGGCCUGGAGGCUGUGGCCUGCGACACCGAGGGCUUCGUGCCACCAAAGGUCAUGCUCAUUUCCUCCAAGGUGCCCAAGGCUGAGUACAUCCCCACCAUCAUCCGCCGGGAUGACCCCUCCAUCAUACCCAUCCUCUACGUGAGUCCAGCCCCGGGCCUGCCCCCAACAGAUGCCCUCUUGCGGCCCCACCCUGGGCCAGCGCCGGCACCCCAGGUCCCCAGGGUGCUGUGGCGCUGCUGGCUCUGACGCAGCCUUGAUGUGACCUUGUGGCCUGUGUCUGUCCCCAGGACCAUGAGCACGCAACCUUCGAGGACAUCCUUGGUAUGUGUCUCAUUGGCCUUCUCUCUGCUGGUUCCAGGCCUGGGAGGGGCAGACACAGGUGGGGGUGCCCCUGGGGCUGGGGUGGGGG